AAUAUAUUCUAUAUUCUAUUUGCUUACACACUCCUCCACCGCCACCACCGAUAUUGCCCCUUCCUCCACCUCCACCACCGAUACUGCCCCUUCCUCCACCUCACCAGCGUCGAAACCCUAAACAUCUACUUAUCUAUAUUAGUUUCUAACGAAUAUUAUUUGGUUCUUAUGAGCAGAUGAAUUGACAAACCCUAACCCCGUUGUCAUCAGUGAGGAGAUGAAGAGAUCAGAAAAGGUGGAGGUUGUGAGUGGAAAGAGGACAAGAAGGGUGGCGUUGGCAGGGGAUUUGUGGAUGGAGCCGAAGAGGGAGCGGUCAUCAUCAUCAUCAUCAGAUUGUUCUCCCUGUAGUCCCGAACGCCUCGCGACGGUGAUAGCAGCGAUAGCGAGGUUAAAAAGCUAAACGAGAUGGCAGAAAGGAAGGAGGGCUUGGAUUCACAAUUUUUCAUGAAGGGGAUCGUGGUGGGUUGUUAGUACACAUCGACACUGCUUUUUCUGAAUGUGUUAUAUCAACAAUAGAAAUGAAGAAUGAAAGAGAAAUUCUUUGCACCGAUCUCCUUUAUAAAAUUUCAUGGGUUGAAGUCACAAGGGAUCGUUCUUUAAGAGAAUGGGUAUUUAAUGAGAUUGCUGAAAACACGUAGAGGGACUUUGGCUCUAAAUAUCCUGGAGGUAAGGGACAAGGAGGAAAAAAAAUCUAGAAGCGUGUUCAUCUAUUUCCAAGGUAGAAGUGGUGUGCCAUCUCCACACAAUAUAUGAAGAUCAAGUGGGAGCAAAACAACUUAGAAUUAGCACCACAAGUUUUAUAAUUAUCUUAUGAAAUUUUAAUGUUUUUUGGAUGAUUGAAUAUUUUGGUACUUUGGUGUAAUUAAGUUAUGUUGAUAAUAAAAUAAUUUAGUCUAUUAA